UCAAGACGUUGAGUAUUGAUUACUAAUCAACUACUAGCCUGGAAGAUAAAAGCCAAAGCUGUAAACAGACAGGUCAGGUAAAUAUAUGAAUGAAGAAAUUAAAUCUAGAAGUAAACAUCAUGGGAAGUCUAAUUAUAGGGCAAGUAUUUUUCCUUCAUAUCUUAUUUAACAUAGUCAAACCAUGCAAUACUUAUAGGCUUAACUAUUGUUUUCAUAGAAACAAUGUUAUUUUAAAUAUCAUGAGAUAGUGUAUUUAAGAGAUAUUGUAGUUCAAGUUUCCAUAUUUAAUCAGCUUAACAAGUGCACAUUCUCUGCUGCCAACAGUACCAAUUUGUCAUCCAAGCAACAAAUAUUCCUUGGUAAUCUGCUAUCAGAUGACAGUUAUCUCUUUGGCAUUUUUAUGAAUUAAAGCUUUCAAAGCCAAACUUCAGAUUUGCUUAGCAUAUUCCUGUACUACAUAUCAACAAAUGUUUGAUGGUUUGUCUGGUUCAUCUCUUAACACUAUGAAGAUGGCUACACUAAUCUUAACAAGAAAACAUUCUGUUGCCAACAGUACCAAUUUGUCAUCCUAUCCAAGCAACUACUAUUCCUUGGUAAUCUGCUAUCAGAUGAUUACAGUUUUCUCUUUGGCAUUUGUAUGAAUUAAAGCUUUCAAAGCCAAAACUAUGAAGAUGGCUACACAGGUAUCAGCUAUCAGCAGUGCACCCCUAUGAUACACAAGUCUUCAUUGCCAAGUCACUCUGCCAAACAGUGUGUACACCUUUCUUGCAUUGGAAGUGACCCACUUUACUGUCAUGAGUCUGGAAAUGUCAGGCCAAGGAGAUCAAGUUUGUGUCCAAGGUUACUUAGUUAAUUCUCUAAGAACAAUAGACAGACUCUACAUGCUACUGAUCUGGAGGUUAGUGGCUCAAUCAUUGUGCACUGAUUCUUCACUGAUGCCUUGAUUCUCCACUGUCAACUUUAUUGUCAUAAAGUUUAUCUAGUGAUCUACAUAUCAAGACUAAAUGGUCAAUUAAACAUGAGGUCAAGGAAAAAGGAUGAACAUUUCAAGGCUACAGAAGGAACAUUAAACGUCUCUCUCACUGUGAAAAGAUUCUACCGAUCUACAAAUGAUCAACAUGUUUUAUCUUAAGUUCGUCUGCCAUUUCUUCAAAUGGAGCCAUAUUAAGAAUAAGAUUCUUUUUGUUCUUCCUUAGGUUCAAAUGUAUCAGUUGUUUUUGUUGACAGAUAUCAAGUCAUUUCAGUUCUCAAUUAUUUUGUGCACCAAGUUACAAGAAAAAAUUUAAGCAAGAGAGGUCACUACACUAAGACUUUGUCUUCUCAUAAGAAAGGAUGGCUGCCUGGUCAUGUGAUAUGUGCACUGGACUGUGUAUGGUCAUCUUGAUGCUCAUAUCUUGCCUGAUGACAUUUAUUCUGCUGAACAUUUGGUCAAGGAAGUAGAUUCUCUUCAGCUCUCAAGAAACAUUCAAAACAUGUCAAACAUUCGACAAGAAUAUCAAGUGCAAUGUACAUACCAACAUGAUGAAAAGGUAGACAACAUGAAGAUGUAGACCAACAUGAUGAAGAUGUAGACCAAUAUGAAGAGGUAGACCAGCAUGAUGAAGAUGUAGACCAACAUGAAGAUGAAAUGUAAACCAAAAAAUGGGUCAAGAGAUGUAUGGAAUACAAUGUGAACAUCUUGAGAAGUAAAACAAUUCCUAGAGGCAAAGACACAGACACCGGAUCUAUUAGAGAUUUUCCUUUUCUACCAUCAUUUAGAGACUUCCUUGUGCUCUAAGGGAACCUGUCAUUAUCUUUUGAUUGCUAAUUGGCAUUGAUGUUUUUACAUUCCUACUGCGUCUGAAAGAAAUUAACAUUUCCCUAAUGCUACUUGAAAACCAGACCUUCUCAAGACAAUUUUAGUGACCAAGCUGCAAUAUGGGACUCAGUAGGAAACAAUGAAGAAUGCUCCUAACCUCAGGUUGAGUAACCAUGCUCACCUACUAGAGUGGCGACAAAUACUUCUACACCCACAGUUAUACAUCCUGAACCCUGUAACCCAACCUCACAACAUGGUUACAUUACCGGAAGUGGUCGCAAGGUCAGAAAACCUAACAGAUACAAUGGAUAGAACAAUGAACAGGUACAAGUACUCAAGUGAUGUACUUUGUGAGAACUAUUUAGGUGGAAUCACCAUAAUUGACUUGUAUAAAUCUUGUUCUAUAUUUAGGUAUAUCUUGACAAUCAGUCCAGUCAUUUGUUCAUUUUUUUUUAAAUAUUCCUUUUUUUUCCCUCAAUCUUCUUGUUGUUUCAGUUACAUGUUUUUGUAUUUUGAAGGAGGAAGGUGCUUUGGUAUAUUAUCGUUAUUAUUAUUGUACCAGUAUUAAGCAAACUUUUAUAUCUUUAAUUAUUCAUGAAUUCUAAAGCAGAACGUCACUUCCACCGGAAAAUGUUGUAACAACUAUACGUGUCUUCAGUUAACAUUCAAUACUCUGUACAGUCACAACGCCAAAGCCUUGCUAGAUUAUGCUUUUAAUUCAAUUUGUUAUCUCCCCUGCUUUAGUGUGCUAUCAUAUAAUUUUUUGUGUCACAUCCCUGCACAAUUUGUUCUAUGCUUUUUUACAGUAUAAAUAGCGACUUGACAUUAUUUAGCUCUAUUAUAAUAUUGUUAUAUUAUUAUAUUUAAAAUAAAACUGUUAACAUAUUCUAUGCUGUUAUAAUAUAAAUGUUUUGCUGUUACCAUGAAUACAGUUUUGAGUUUUUGUCUGAUUUCUUAGAGGAGAAAUUUUUCAUAAAUAAUAAUAAUAAGGCUUAUCUUCAAGUCCGAAGAUUAGUGAGAAGUAUGCAGUAUUCCCCAGCUAGGACCUACAUAUUUUGCUAUAAAUAAAGAGUAUAAUAAUAUUUACUACUUGGUAUUGUCAGUCUUCACUAAAGCAAUGAGUUUAUCCCCUUAGUGUGUUUAAAAUUUUCAAAUACUAAUUCACUUUGUAUUAUCUGUUGGUGAUCAUAAGGUAUCCACUUUGUCAUCUCCAUAGUCUCUGGUGUUAACACUCAGUGUCCUGUUGGAGGUUACGGCUAAGAUGUUAUCUCUCUUUCUGAUGGAACACAUGUAAAACCAACAAAACAAACAUUAGACCUAGACUUUAUUAACAGGUAAAUUUUUAUAAUUGUGAACUGGCGCUCCCAAAGCUACUUUUAUGUAUUUUAAAUUUUACUUCUGUAGGCUAGUGCUAAGCUGUAUACUU